AGAACAUUGAGAGGACUUUUCCCUAAUACAAGAGGAUCGGGAAGGACACACUACUGGUAUACCAGUAUCGUACCCACGAUAAAUAUUGAGUAGCCAAGUGCAGAGCAGAUAACUGUUAAAAGCAUCUAAGUAAUAAGCCCACCCCAAGAUGAGUGCUCU
rnacentral:ncRNA from 1 species